rnacentral:rRNA from 1 species
UACAGAGGUCCCAAGCGUUGUUCGGAUUCACUGGGCGUAAAGGGUGCGUAGGCGGUCGGGUAAGUCUGAUGUGAAAUCUCACAGCUUAACUGUGAAACUGCAUUGGAUACUAUUCGGCUUGAGAGUUGGAGGGGGGACUGGAAUUCUUGGUGUAGCAGUGAAAUGCGUAGAUAUCAAGAGGAACACCAGUGGCGAAGGCGGCGUCCUGGCCUGCGACUGACGCUGUGGCGCGAAAGCUAGGGGAGCGAACGGG